rnacentral:rRNA from 1 species
AGAGUUUGAUCCUGGCUCAGGAUGAACGCUGGCGGCGUGCUUAACACAUGCAAGUCGAACGAUGAUCCCAGCUUGCUGGGGGAUUAGUGGCGAACGGGUGAGUAACACGUGAGUAACCUGCCCUUAACUCUGGGAUAAGCCUGGGAAACUGGGUCUAAUACCGGAUAUGACUCCUCAUCGCAUGGUGGGGGGUGGAAAGCUUUAUUGUGGUUUUGGAUGGACUCGCGGCCUAUCAGCUUGUUGGUGAGGUAAUGGCUCACCAAGGCGACGACGGGUAGCCGGCCUGAGAGGGUGACCGGCCACACUGGGACUGAGACACGGCCCAGACUCCUACGGGAGGCAGCAGUGGGGAAUAUUGCACAAUGGGCGAAAGCCUGAUGCAGCGACGCCACGUGAGGGAUGACGGCCUUCGGGUUGUAAACCUCUUUCAGUAGGGAAGAAGCGAAAGUGACGGUACCUGCAGAAGAAGCGCCGGCUAACUACGUGCCAGCAGCCGCGGUAAUACGUAGGGCGCAAGCGUUAUCCGGAAUUAUUGGGCGUAAAGAGCUCGUAGGCGGUUUGUCGCGUCUGCCGUGAAAGUCCGGGGCUCAACUCCGGAUCUGCGGUGGGUACGGGCAGACUAGAGUGAUGUAGGGGAGACUGGAAUUCCUGGUGUAGCGGUGAAAUGCGCAGAUAUCAGGAGGAACACCGAUGGCGAAGGCAGGUCUCUGGGCAUUAACUGACGCUGAGGAGCGAAAGCAUGGGGAGCGAACAGGAUUAGAUACCCCCGUAGUCC